GGAAGGGCUUUAGCUCAGCGGUAAGAGAAUCUGCUUUGCACCCAAAAGGUCCAAGGUUCAAUCCCCAGCCUCUCCA